rnacentral:tRNA from 1 species
AGCCCUGUAGUCUAGAGGUUUGUUGCAGCUUGCCUGCAAACCGGGUGACCCAGGUUCGAAUCCUGGCAGGGCUA